AGUAAAUAGAUACCCGGGUAGUCCACGCCGUAAACGAUGAAUACUAGGUGUAGGGGUUGUCAUGACCUCUGUGCCGCCGCUAAACGCAUUAAGUAUUCCGCCUGGGGAGUACGGUCGCAAGAUUAAAACUCAAAGGAAUUGACGGGGGCCCGCACAAGCAGCGGAGCAUGUGGUUUAAAUUCGAAGCAACGCGAAGAACCUUACCUAGACUUGACAUCUCCUGAAUUACUCUGUAAUGGAGGAAGCCCUUCGGGGCAGGAAGACAGGUGGUGCAUGGUUGUCGUCAGCUCGUGUCGUGAGAUGUUGGGUUAAGUCCCGCAACGAGCGCAACCCUUAUUGUUAGUUGCUACCAUUAAGUUGAGCACUCUAGCGAGACUGCCCGGGUUAACCGGGAGGAAGGUGGGGAUGACGUCAAAUCAUCAUGCCCCUUAUGUCUAGGGCUACACACGUGCUACAAUGGCUGGUACAGAGAGAUGCUAAACCGUGAGGUGGAGCCAAACUUUAAAACCAGUCUCAGUUCGGAUUGUAGGCUGAAACUCGCCUAC
rnacentral:rRNA from 1 species